rnacentral:tRNA from 1 species
GAUGCUGUGUUUUUUUAAAAAAGCUGAAUGUUUUGAAUAACCUGUGCAGGGGUCGUGGGUUCGAUUCCCGCCAGUAUCC